CCUACGGGAGACAGCAGUGAGGAAUAUUCGUCAAUGGGCGCGAGCCUGAACCAGCCAAGUAGCGUGAAGGAUGACUGCCCUACGGGUUGUAAACUUCUUUUAUAAAGGAAUAAAGUUAGGCACGUGUGCCUUUUUGUAUGUACUUUAUGAAUAAGGAUCGGCUAACUCCGUGACAGCAGCCGCGGUAAUACGGAGGAUCCGAGCGUUAUCCGGAUUUAUUGGGUUUAACGGGAGCGUAGAUGGGUUGUUAAGUCAGUUGUGAAAGUUUGCGGCUCAACCGUAAAAUUGCAAUUGAUACUGGCAGCCUUGAGUACAGUUGAGGGAGGCGGAAUUCGAGGUGUAGCGGUGAAAUGCUCAGAUAUCACGAAGAACUCCGAUUGCGAAGGCAGCUUACUAAACUGCCACUGACAUUGAUGCUCGAAAGUGUGGGUAUCAAACAGGAUUAGAUACCCUUGUAGUC
rnacentral:rRNA from 1 species